GGUGGAUGCCUAGGCGCACAGAGGCGAUGAAAGACGUGGCUGGCUGCGAAAAGCUUCGGUGAGGUGCCAAGCAACCUGUGACCCGAAGAUGUCUGAAUGGGGAAACCCGCGGCGACACGAGCGCCCAUCCUGUACUGAAUACAUAGGUACAGCGAAGCCGACCUGGGGAAGUGAAACAUCUCAGUACCCAGAGGAAAAGAAAUCAAACGAGACUCCGGUAGUAGUGGCGAGCGAACCCGGAUCAGGCCAAACCGAAGAGAUUCGUCUCUUCGGGGUUGUAGGGCCUCCAUAAAGGUACCAGCAAGGGUAACGGAAGCGCUCUGGAAAGAGCUCCGAGACAGGGUGAUAGGCCCGUACGUGAAAACCUGAGCUGGAUCUGGAGGUACCCUGAGUACCACAGGGCACGAGCAACCCGGUGGGAAUCUGGGAGGACCAUCUUCCAAGCCUAAGU
rnacentral:rRNA from 1 species